GACGAACGCUGGCGGCGUGCUUAACACAUGCAAGUCGAACGGUGAAGCGCCUUCCUUUUUGGUGGGUGUGGAUGAGUGGCGAACGGGUGAGUAACACGUGAGUAACCUGCCCCCUUCUUCGGGAUAACCGCAUGAAAGUGUGGCUAAUACGGGAUAUUCUGGGUCUGUCGCAUGAUGGGUCUGGGAAAGUUAUUGUUUCGGUGGGGGAUGGGCUCGCGGCCUAUCAGCUUGUUGGUGGGGUGAUGGCCUACCAAGGCGGUGACGGGUAGCCGGCCUGAGAGGGUGGACGGUCACACUGGGACUGAGACACGGCCCAGACUCCUACGGGAGGCAGCAGUGGGGAAUAUUGCACAAUGGGCGCAAGCCUGAUGCAGCGACGCCGCGUGAGGGAUGGAGGCCUUCGGGUUGUGAACCUCUUUCGCCAGUGAAGCAGGCCUGCCUCGUUUGUGGGUGGGUUGACGGUAGCUGGAUAAGAAGCGCCGGCUAACUACGUG
rnacentral:rRNA from 1 species